rnacentral:lncRNA from 1 species
UCGAAUUUCCAUGAUAGCGAUAGUGACUCACUUCCUGUGUAAUGAAACUUCAGAGGUGUUCUUUAGAAAGUAAAUGAUUAGGUGCAAACCUGAAAUACAGAUACAAAAUAGUCAAGUUAUCUGUCAUCAUGGUUAUCGAAUCACGUAAUGAAAAGCAUGGAAGAAAGAUAAGAAAAGUGCUUUCAUUAUGUACUGGAAUAUGAAAUAGUUGUUCUGACUAAGCUUUUUAAGUGUAAGAAAUGAACAGCAUAUCUUGCAAACUCUAUACACAACAUGCCUGCCCUAUUUGGCUGCUGAACUUAAGCCCCUCCGUCCAUUUUAGAGCCCCAUUCUUAAAAUAAAACAGGGUUAUUGUUCAUGCAUAAAAAUCCGACCAUUCUACAAAGGGGGAGUGGUAAUUAAAAAUUAAUUCAGGAGCUAUUAUCAAUAUAAAAUAAGAAGAAAAGAGAGAAAUUUAUUGUUAGCACUAAUUCUGUACAAUGUAAACUUGUCAUAGUCUGGAUCCUCCUUUAUUUGGCCACUAUUAGCAAAAAGUAGAUCUAUUUUUGUUGCAAUUAUUAACAAACGUAUUGUUAGACCACAAAUUAAAUCGUCUUGCUGUUUAACAUGUAUGGCCACAAGCCCUAGCAGCAAAAUAAAAGAAAAAAUAGUUGUUGCAGCUAAUUGUCGAAACUGCAUGUAUACAUAGAACAGAAAAAAAUAGCAAAAAAAUGGCAAAAGGUGCACUGAUGAUGGGCAUAUCUUUCCCCAAUUGACAUGUGGAAAUUGUUGUCAGUGAUAGGGCCAAAUGCACUGGCCAAUUUUGUGCCAGCAACUAUGAAUCAAAAAUGGAAAAAUAGACUCACCUGAUUGAGCAUCGAACGACAAAGAAUACAGCUGCAAAUACUCCACGGAUAAUGGCGCAGAGCAUUUCGUAAUACAUGAUUUAUCUAGUUAUUAUCUAGUUACGGCUGGUGUAGGAACUUAUUCUGAAUUUUCUGAAACCCAAAGGCAAAUUUCAAACAAACUUCCUCCAAUCUAGAAAUCUAGAAAGCCCGACCAGUCCGAAAAGAGAUACUGUAAUUAAAAGAAAAAACAUAUAUGCAUCAAUACAGAGGGAGUUCUGUUUACGACAACGCAUGAAAAAUAUAAUGCAUUAGUGCUACAUCCCUGUAAUAGCAUCUAUAUGACAACCAUAUAGAGAUUUGAACAAUAAAAAUGAAUGAUAAAGGGAUCUACAUGAGGCAAUACAAUGGUGUAGGAUCAUGGAGAAAAGUAAAAUAUCU